ACCUUUCACACUUAAACAAUACAAAACACUUUUAGUAUCUCAGUAUUAUUAGUAAAAAUACAAACUACAAUCAAUACAAAAGCAAAGGUAGUUAAAAUAUUACAAUGCCUGCAAAUGCAGCAAUAAUGAUUAGGAGAAGAGACAGACUCUCAACCUCUCAGUAACAAUAGUUACCGUUGCCAAGGGAUGACUAUGUUCGGGGAUUGUCUAUGAUUUUUGUCCCUGUUUCCAUAUAUGCAGAAAUUGUAAUAUUUUGGCUGACUUUGUAUGUAUAUUUAUUGCAGAUUGUAUUUGUACUAAUUAUACUGAGAUACUAAUAAAGUGUUUUUUGUUAUGGAUUAUGUUCUAUUGUUCGUUGACAUUAAUUUACCAAAUAUCUGUUCCCAUGUGUUUUGCUUAUAAUUUUAUGCCUGUCUUGCUGUAAUAUCUAGA